UUUUUUUUUUUUUCCCCCCCCCACUGGACAGAUAGUUUUCUAACUCAGUAUCUUCAUUAUUCAGUAUCUUUAUUAUUGUAAACCGAAAAAUACUUAAAGGACGUUCUGAACUGCAAAAGAACACACCAGAUAUUGGUCUGUGGUUCUUUUGCAUGUGUAUAACAUAAAAAAUAUUUAAGAGACAGCUUUUGCAUAGCUGAGAUUGUUAAAAUCUUACUUUUCAGACAACACCUGAGGCCCUACUCUGAAGCUGAUAAUAGAUAGCUAGUUGGGAAAAUGAACAUGCAGGUAACUAUAACUGAGCAGCUAAACAUUUAUCUUGCAUGCAGGGCACACUGAUUUAGAAGGCUUUGAGAAGUCUCAUUACAAGCAAGUGUUAAAUACUAAAAGUUAGUCUGUGAGCCAGACAGAAUUCAGAGAACCAGAGAUAAUGAGACUAUAAAGAUGAUAUGUAGCUAGCAACAGUUGUGGCUUGCUUAGUGAUACAUGUAAACACAGUCUGGUUGGACACUUAACAGGAUAAAUGUGGAAAAAAAUAGAAAGGAUAAAGCAAACAAUACAUCAAAUGGUUGUGGGCAGUUUUCAGUACAUGCAUGUUCUCCAUUAAUGCUAAGAAGAAAUAACAAGCCAUAACUACUAUCUGCAGAAUGAAAGCAUUCAAGUUUUUCCCACUGAAAACAUACUUGCUCCUGUUACCCUUUCUCCAGUGUUAUUGUUUGUUCUAUGUAAUGUGUAGCUCUCAGGAUCCAUGCUGGCUUUAAUUCUUCAAAGGCAGUUACUUCCCUACUUUCCUGCCCUAACAGCAUUGUCUUGUCUCCUCUCUUCACUUCCUCAGGUGGCUCAGUCAGAGAUAAGAUUAAAAAAAUUUGCUGGAAUGACAGAAAAUUGUAGUCACUGUGGAUGGGAAAGUAUGUUAGGUGUCUAAAUAAGAAAACCUAUAAAAAUGGAAUUGUUCAAUGAGAAAAAGUCUCUAGCAUGUUAGCUGGGGAGGCUGCAGAGUCCUUGUGACAGAAGGCAGUAAAUGAUGGGUAGGGCAAUUAGUUGUUAGGGAUGACACAGAUUCAGCUCACUAUGCUUUAGAGAGAUACGGACUCAAGAAAUUACUGCAUUUUGUACCAUCUCAAUGAAAAUAAUUUGAAUAAAACUAAGACCACAAUUUUAUUCUCAAGUAGGCUAUUUUCUGAGCAGGUAUUAAAAUCACUGUGUUUGGGCUUUCUUGUUUGCUUGCUCUUGUACAUAAUUAUACAUUAUGCUUGUGGAAAUCUCUGUGUAAUUAUACAGACCUCAUAUUAGUUUUAGCGGUGGUCUUUGGCAUUUAGAUAUCUGCAUAUCUAUUUGCUGUUUUUGUUAUAUUCUUCUUUUUGUAUACCCACUAGAUUUGACAGGAAGUCACCUAGAAUGAGAAAUAAUGCAAUUGCUAUUGAUACAAUACUUGUAGCUCAUCUUAUUCAUGGUAAGGUUUUACAAGGUUAAAUUAAAACGCAUGACACCUAAAAUAAUUUUAUUUAUUAAAAUUACCUCAAGCUUCUUUUCACAGAAAUUAAACUCUGGCAUGGAAACAGCAUUGCCAUGUCUAAUUUAGAUAAUUUUUUUUACUCAUUAGUCUUACUUUGUAUGUACCCUUUCCUCUUAAUGAGAGCAGAAAGAGAAUUUGCAGCCUACUGAGUCAGCCAUCAUAAUUGUAAGCUUGUUUCAGUACUUCUCAAACCACAGGUUUUGUUAAAAUUAUAAGCCAAUUUAGCAACAAAGCCCUGUUAAUGAAUAGAGUGCAGUAGUGUUUUUAAAGCAGAAGUAAAUGAUCAGCUCUUCAUUUAUUUGUUGUGUGUAGAGAACAGAAGGUCUCAGUGCAAUAAGAUUGUAUUUGUGGUGCAGCUGGAUCAUAUGCUGCCCACAUUUGCUGAUUGUCAUGGUGAUUUAUUGUUGUGACCAAAACUUUCCUGCUUCUGCAUCCUAGUGUUUGUUGGCUAUUUGGAACAUUUAUGGCCAAAAGCAUCACAAAUGUUUUCUAAGGCUAAAUCUGUAUUAGUAAAUUUAACAAGUGCUGUGGAACUUACAGGAUGUUAAAACAAUAACUGGUAGGUUUAAAUUGUUAGAUUCAUCCUUUAGACAGCUUUAGCAUGUUCCCACAUGAUUCCCAGGGGCAGUUCAGGGGCUAGCACAGGCAGUUUGCAGUUUGCAUGCAAUCACCUUAAUUUGGCAGCUAAAAAAAUGUAAUAGUCUGGAACUGAUUCCUUUUGUGCCAGCGAGCCUCAGUGGCAGGGAAGGAUCCUGGGGACAUAAUGUAUCUGCUGAUCCUGGUGUUUUGACUGCAGGAAACAUCAUACAAUAUAUGCAAACCCAGUAUUUUUCUCUUACUAGGUUUGUAGUUUCAGACCUAACUCUUUGUAUAUUCAUGUAACAAACAAAAACUUACUCCAUCAACAGGGAAGGAGGGGAGGAGGAAGGAGUGGCUGUCAGUGGCUGUCAGUCUUAUUACACUGCUGGGGUCUUGGUUAGGAGGUUCUCUUGGUCAUCCUGACUUGCCAUUGGGAAAAGAUGACCUAUUAUCACUGAUUGCUUUAUGUCUUCCAGUACUUGACUGGGAGUGGAUUAUGCUGGAUGAAAAUGCAUGGCUCUUUACUUUUCAGGACAAAAACAGAGGUCCCUGGGCAUAAUAAUGGAAGACUAUUUUAGCUGUAAUAUAAAAUUUACUUUCCAUGCUUGUAGGAAAAAAAAGAUUGAUGAAUGUUUUAGGCAGGCAACUUUCAUUUAAGUUGCUUGCUAUAUCUCUAUAGCUCUUCAGAACCUCUUGGUUUCAGAUUAAAAAAGUUAUCUUGAACAAAGAGGCAGUUUCUGUAUAAAUUUUUUCUCUUCCACUUGUUACUGCAUACAAGAAAAAAACUGAGAAUACUAAGCAAUGGACUGACUUUUAUACUUAAGUUAUAAUAAUAUUGUUCCUUUAUCCCUGUACUAAGAGGUGCAAUAUGCUUUUUUGGGUUAUAUACCAUAGGGUCUGAGCAGAAUCAUGAUCCUGCCUUAAAGACAAUUCUUACUAAUUUCCCAAACUUUUUCCAAGUUGAAAAAUCUUGAACACAGUAUUUAAAUGUGUUUUUCAUCUACUCAAUAAUUUUUGGCAUCUCUGUUGGAACAAUUAAGAUUAUAGAUUACACUGGAUUAGUGCAAGUCAAUGAAUUUAAAAUAAUUAAAACACCAUUAUUAACCAAGACUUAUCAGCAGGAACAUCUAUUUGAGGAUUAUAUUCUCCUUUCCCAAAUAAUUAUAUUUCAUAUUUUUCAUCAUUUAUAUGGCCCUUCAGCUUCUGGAAAAGCUCCCCAAGUUAAAUAUUCAAUAGAAAUUGGGUGCGAUUUUAAACACUAACACAUCAGAAGUACCUUCAAUGGUAGUGGGAGUGGGGCGGCAGGUGUCUGGAUGGGAGAAAAGAAAAAGAAUGUGGUACUCCUAUCUUAUAUUGACAAAAAUAUAAAUAGCAGGGUGGGGGAGGGGGAAGUUUGUUGUCAAUCCCAUUUUCUCAUUAAAACUGUAUACAGUUCAAUUAGUACCUGCAAAUGAGGCUUUUGUAAUAUUAGCCCAAACACUGACUUUCUUUGUUCUCUGUAUAAUUACUUCUGAUAAUUUUUAAAAAGUGGGGUAGAAUCUCCUCCAACAAUCCUUGUUUCUCGCAGUGAUAUGUUUGUAUGACCCUUCCAGUCACCAAAGAAUCCACAUACAGGCAAUUCACUAACUCUCAUUCAACUUCCACAGAUGAUUACUUCCCUGAAAUGAGUAGGACGAGACUCAUCUGAGUUGUCUUUUUAGCAGAACAGAGAAAAUAACAGCUAAAUCAGCUACAGUUCUGUAUAUCCAUAAAACCUGAGAUGCAUAAAUCACAAUUUUAAAUCCCAAUCUUCUUUCCAUGUCUCCAGGGAAGGAGAACAGAAAUCACAGAUAUUCAGACUAGAUUUCUUCAGUGCUAUUUGCACUGCAAACAGCUAGAACAAGUCAGCACACAGAAUUAAGCUGAUGGAAGUAAAAUUUUGGCCACGGACAGAAAGAGUAGGGUAAAAGCUAGAAAUGAGUCAGAGAUGACCCUAAGAUAACAAGCAGUGUUUAUAGUUCUUAUAAAUUCCUCCCAAAUGACAAGAUUUUUGUUGGUCUCAUAGUGACCCUGUGAAGCUCCAGCUCACUCAGGAAUUUCUGACUGUUUAUUAAAAGUCCCCUUUUCCAAAUAGUCCUGAAGCUAUGAAAUGAGUGAGGGGCUAGGAGACAGAGCUUAGGAGGGAACUGUUCAGGGCAGGAGAUGCAGAAAUGGGGCAGAAUGUGGAAUUGUGGGGAACAAAAUGAUAGAGCUUAUUUUGGAGCUAGGGCAACAGGUGUGACUGCUGACAAGUGAGAGUUCUGGAAGUUCCAGAGGAUGAUAGCUGCAAGGUAUACUGGAUACUGGACCUCACACAUGCUGGGGAUGGGGAAAGGCACAGUUCACCACACGCACAAAUAUAUUUCUCUUAAAAAUCUCAUCAUUGAUUGGUGCUACAGUUCAUAUCUAUAAGGGCAAAAAUGCUAGAAUUGAGUGUGAGGAGAAAAGUGAUUGCUAGUGGUUUGAGAGAAUUUAUUCCAGGAAGAUGUCUUCUUUGGUUUAGCAGUAGCCUAAAGACAAAACAAGAAGAGAUGAGAGUACUAUAUGCAUGAAUGUGAUCUCCAUAGGAACUAAACCUUUUUUAAUUGUCCACAUGACAUUAAGCACAGUCAUCCUUUGCAAGACCAAACCUGUUGUUAAACAUGACAAAAUACACGUUCAAAAAGAAAAAUAAUAAAAAGUCCAACAAAAAUAAUACACUACAAAGGAGGUGCUAAGGCUUCUGAAUCACAGUUGUAUACUUUUUCUUGUUUUACAAUCAAUAUGAGGCAACAUCUCUACUAUGUCCAAAUUAUGAAACAGAAAUCGUGCAUUAAGCACUGAGAUAGUGUAUUAAGCAAAGAGACAUAACAUCAGAUGAGAACUGAUGUGAAAAAGUUGUGGGUAAUUUUUAGAAUUUUUUAGUUAACAGCCUAGAAGGCCCCAGUGACAUAUAAGGACUUUCUCCAUGUGUUCUGCAAUUCUCUGUGCACAGAACAUCUGAAAUCUGCUGUUAAAUAGGUGUCUCCCCCAUUGGAGAGGAUUUCUAACAACAGGCAGUUGAUUUCACUGCUAAUAUACAGAAGAUGCAACUUCUGCCUAUCACCAUGAUUUACCUUACUCUCUAGUUCCAAAUUAGGGAGCUAAGAGUAACCACAGUAUCUCACUAGUGCUAUGCAAUUCCCAUGGCCUCAGAAGAGAACUGGGAGAUAAAGCCCAUCAUGGGAGGUUCUUCCUUCUUCAUGUAAUGCCCAGUAGAUUUGGAGGUAGCACAUGAGACAGUGUACCUAUGGGUAUCUGCUAACUAGGUAGCACAAGAGAUUCAAGAAAGCAUUGUGAUCUCGAGGCCAGUGGAAAAUAAAAGAUCUUUGUUCAAUCUCAAAGUGAAUAAAUAAAAGACUGGAAGCAAUUAAAUUAAAAAUUAGAAGAAGAGGAGCCAUGAACAGUGACUAUAACAAAGAUAAUGCAAGUGUAGAGAAGAAUGAAAGCAGAGCAGCAAUUUAUGUUGUAUCGAGUGAUCACAGCCCACUUGUGUUGACAGAGAAAGAAAUUAGUGGAUAGGAAGAGGCUCAGGCUGAAAAGAGCACUGAAAGGGACUGGGAAGUUUGGGCUGGAAGAAACAGAGUGCUUUCAUAGAUGGAUAUGUUUGGAGUGAAGAAAGUGCAUGAAUUUCCAGUUUCAGCUCUAAAAUCAAAAAAAGAAAGCGGUUGAAAAAAAGAAAUAAGUAAGACACAUACAGUAUUAUCCACUUGUUUUUUCUAGGAUGCUCUUGUGAAGAGAGAUGAGUGAAGAGGAAAGGGACAGAGGAAAGAAGCUACCAAAAAGUUGGUAUCCUCUGCAAAAAUGUGAGGUCAGAAAGUUGGCCAGACCGUGACUGCAAGGCAUUGACCUCAUAAGGCAUAAGAUCCUCUUACUGUAUUUUCUCAAAAAUGUUGUAUUCUGAAGACUUAAUUUUUUUCAAAACAUAAUUUGACAAAGCUCUGGCAUCUGACAAGUCCACUAGCAUCGUUAAGAUUUAGUCAAAUUAAUAUUAUCUGCCUAUUGUGGCUUCAGUGUACUUUGCCCCUGGCACAGGAUGGCAGGGAACUAAACCCGAGCAAU
rnacentral:lncRNA from 1 species